rnacentral:rRNA from 1 species
AUGGCCGCCAACGCGUGCUGUACGUGCGGCGACGCUAUCGACGACGAGAAAGAAGACACGACGUUCUUCGAGUGCGUUCGCUGCGCAAGGUGGCAGCACAACUGCUGCUUCAAGAACUGGGAUUCGUCGGAGGACCCCGAACUGUGCGAUAUUUGCCUCGACCAACAGAAGCAGCAGCCCCACCACCACCAGUGGGUGGAGAAACUCGCGAGCUUGGACUUCCGGAUGAUAUGCGAGCCCUACCGCUUCUGCUAUCUCUGCAGCAAGCACUUCUGCGCGCGCUGCUGCCCCGCCGCCCCACCCAGCCGCAGGCGCGAUCACGGCAAUCACCCCACAUUCAUAAUCGAGGUGGUGCAGCACGAGGGGCUGCUGAUCGUCAGAUUGGAGGACGUUAACCACUUCUACGACUGCUCUCGCGUCGAGCCGGAGAUGGCAUUCCCAGGUUGGGUGCGCCUGCAUCCCAAGCCGGAGGAGCAGGAUGCCGGCGGCGGCGGCGGAGGAGAGCCGUGCGGCUUCAGGGAAUGCAACCGUCGAAUAGCCCAAGACUAUGAUUUCUGCUCCAUCCACUGUCAGUUCGAAGAGAUAGGCCGUGAUCCGGUGAUGCCCCCUACUCGCCAAGCGGUCCUGGAUAGUCGGGCUCAGAAGUAUCGUGUGAAGGGACUCCUGACGCUGGAGCAUUCAAAUGGGACACCGAUCGUCAGUCUGGGACAUGGAUGGGACAAGUUCUGCCUCCUCUGCCACGCCGGAUUCAGCUCCCAGGUGUGCCAUCACCACGACAAUCACAGCACCAUCGAAAUCAUAGACACCCCAGAGUUCGGUCUUGUCGCACGCUUCAUACAAACGCUCCAUGGGGAAUGGCUUGCCUCCUUGAGCACCGUUCAGAGUUCUAGGGAGGAGAGAGCCCUUGAUGAUGGUUAUGGGUGGUUUUAUACUGAGGUGAUCGUGGAGGUGCCCUUGAUGAUGCAGUCGCACCCAGUUUCAGAGCUACGCCCGAAUUCUUGUCGGUGUGGUAGUGGCAUCGACAAGGACAUGGUGUACUGCUCAGUUCAGUGCAUGGCGGGGGACUUGUGA